rnacentral:rRNA from 1 species
GGCUCAGGACGAACGCUGGCGGCGUGCCUAAUACAUGCAAGUCGAACGCACUGACGUCGACCGAAGCUGCUUGCAGUGGACGUUGAUUGACGUGAGUGGCGGACGGGUGAGUAACACGUGGGUAACCUACCCUUAAGUGGGGGAUAACAUUUGGAAACAGAUGCUAAUACCGCAUAACCAUUCAGACCACAUGGUCUGAAUGUAAAAGACGGCCUUUGGCUGUCACUUUUGGACGGACCCGCGGCGUAUUAGUUAGUUGGUAAGGUAACGGCUUACCAAGACAAUGAUACGUAGCCGACCUGAGAGGGUAAUCGGCCACAUUGGGACUGAGACACGGCCCAAACUCCUACGGGAGGCAGCAGUAGGGAAUCUUCCACAAUGGACGAAAGUCUGAUGGAGCAACGCCGCGUGAGUGAAGAAGGUUUUAGGAUCGUAAAACUCUGUUGUUGGAGAAGAACAGGGACUAGAGUAACUGUUAGUCCUUUGACGGUAUCCAACCAGAAAGCCACGGCUAACUACGUGCCAGCAGCCGCGGUAAUACGUAGGUGGCAAGCGUUGUCCGGAUUUAUUGGGCGUAAAGCGAGCGCAGGCGGUUUUUUAAGUCUGAUGUGAAAGCCUUCGGCUUAACCGAAGAAGUGCAUUAGAAACUGGAAAACUUGAGUGCAGAAGAGGACAGUGGAACUCCAUGUGUAGCGGUGAAAUGCGUAGAUAUAUGGAAGAACACCAGUUGCGAAGGCGGCUGUCUGGUCUGUAACUGACGCUGAGGCUCGAAAGUAUGGGGAGCGAACAGGAUUAGAUACCCUGGUAGUCCAUACCGUAAACGAUGAAUGCUAGGUGUUGGAGGGUUUCCGCCCUUCAGUGCUGCACUAACGCAUUAAGCAUUCCGCCUGGGGAGUACGACCGCAAGGUUGAAACUCAAAGGAAUUGACGGGGGCCGCACAAGCGGUGGAGCAUGUGGUUUAAUUCGAAGCAACGCGAAGAACCUUACCAGGUCUUGACAUCCUUUGACCACUGUAGAGAUACAGCUUUCUUCGGGGACAAAGUGACAGGUGGUGCAUGGUUGUCGUCAGCUCGCGUCGUGAGAUGUUGGGUUAAGUCCCGCAACGAGCGCAACCCUUAUGACUAGUUGCCAGCAUUUAGUUGGGCACUCUAGUAAGACUGCCGGUGACAAACCGGAGGAAGGUGGGGAUGACGUCAAAUCAGCAUGCCCCUUAUGACCUGGGCUACACACGUGCUACAAUGGUCGGUACAACGAGUUGCGAACCCGCGAGGGUAAGCUAAUCUCUUAAAGCCGAUCUCAGUUCGGAUUGUAGGCUGCAACUCGCCUACAUGAAGCCGGAAUCGCUAGUAAUCGCGGAUCAGCACGCCGCGGUGAAUACGUUCCCGGGCCUUGUACACACCGCCCGUCACACCAUGAGAGUUUGUAACACCCGAAGUCGGUGGGGUAACCCUUUUAGGGAACUAGCCGCCUAAGGUGGGACAGAUGAUUGGGGUGAAGUCG